rnacentral:rRNA from 1 species
UUGAACGCUGGCGGCAUGCCUUACACAUGCAAGUCGAACGGCAGCACGGGUGCUUGCACCUGGUGGCGAGUGGCGAACGGGUGAGUAAUACAUCGGAACAUGUCCUGUAGUGGGGGAUAGCCCGGCGAAAGCCGGAUUAAUACCGCAUACGAUCUACGGAUGAAAGCGGGGGACCUUCGGGCCUCGCGCUAUAGGGUUGGCCGAUGGCUGAUUAGCUAGUUGGUGGGGUAAAGGCCUACCAAGGCGACGAUCAGUAGCUGGUCUGAGAGGACGACCAGCCACACUGGGACUGAGACACGGCCAAGACUCCUACGGGAGGCAGCAGUGGGGAAUUUUGGACAAUGGGCGAAAGCCUGAUCCAGCAAUGCCGCGUGUGUGAAGAAGGCCUUCGGGUUGUAAAGCACUUUUGUCCGGAAAGAAAUACUUGGCUCUAAUACAGUCGGGGGAUGACGGUACCGGAAGAAUAAGCACCGGCUAACUACGUG